rnacentral:antisense_RNA from 1 species
CUCUUUUCUAAGAAGACAUUCAUCUCUUUUCUGAGAAGGCGUUUCUGCAAAGGCAUUCAUCAUCAUCAGCCUCCUGAGUAGCUGGAAUUACAGAACUUCCAAGAUGGUGGUGAGCCGCUUCCAAGAUGGUGGCAGGCCGCUUCCAAGAUGGUGGCAGGCCGCUUCCAAGAUGGUGGCAGGCCGCUUCCAAGAUGGUGGCAGGCCGCUUCCAAGAUGGUGGCAGGCCGCUUCCAAGAUGGUGGCAAGUCUCGUGUUCUCUGACCUGGGGUUCUUGGCCUCAUGGAGUCCAAGGAACGGAAUCUUGGGUCAUGCGCUACAGCUGUCAUACUGAAAUCAUGAAGCUAAAGGCUACAGAGGGCUACUAGAAGCCUGAGUUUCUGAAGACUGUGUGGAACCAUCAAAGCAGCCCUGAAUAUUUCCCUUGAGACUUUUCCAUUAUAGGAAGGGCAAAGAAAUAGAUGAUGUAUGAUGU